GCAUCUCCAUGCGCAUAAUAAAAACCCUUUGAUGAGUAUACUAUUCCCCUUGUUUUCUGAUAUAUUCCCUUUUUUUUUUCUCAGGCUGUAAUUGCUUUCAUUCCUGAGGGUAGGGACAUACAUCAUCAUCUUCUUCUGUAGCUUUCUAUAGCUAUAGCUACAUGCAGCUAGGAGACCCUACUGUGUUGGAAACCUCCACCGGGGAGGCCGCGGCUGCGGAGGGCGGCGGCGAGGCCAUUGGUGGCGAUGAGGGUGAGAAGAUGAACUUUGGUGGUGGAAACCGGUGGCCCCGGCAAGAAACUUUGGCUCUCUUGAAGAUAAGGUCGGAUAUGGAUUCUGUGUUUCGAGAUUCAAGUCUCAAGGGUCCACUCUGGGAAGAAGUUUCAAGGAAACUAGGAGAACUUGGAUAUCAUCGAAGCGCAAAGAAGUGUAAAGAGAAAUUUGAGAACGUUUAUAAGUACCACAAGAGAACGAAAGAGAAUCGAAGUGGAAAAUCCGAAGGCAAAAUCAAAACCUACAAAUUCUUUGACCAAUUGCAAGCUCUUGAGAAUCAUCAAUUCACUCUUUCAUACAACCCUACACCAAAGCCACAACCACCACCCACUUUGCCAACAAACACACUGCCAUUAUUACCAACAAGGCCUAGUGACGCCACCACCACCACCACCACUGUUCCAUCCACAAACCCUACACCACCACCAACCACCACCACAACUGUCGUUACCAACCCUAAUAAUCCAUCGUCACAACAAAAUAUUAAUAAUAUCAAUAAUACUGAUAGUCGUGUGCAACAUUCUUUGCCUAUAAUGAACAACCUUUUCUCUUCUACCUCGACUUCUUCUUCCACGGCCUCUGACGAGGAUUUGGAGGAGAAGUACAGGAAUAAGAGAAAAUGGAAGGAGUACUUCAGGAGGCUGACUAGGCAGGUGUUGGCGAAGCAGGAGGAGAUGCAGAAGAGAUUCUUGGAAGCCAUAGACAAGAGGGAGAGGGAGCAAGUUGCUCAGCAAGAUGCAUGGAGGAUGCAAGAGAUGACUAGGAUCAAUAGAGAGCACGACAUUCUCGUCCAAGAACGAUCAACCGCCGCCGCAAAAGACGCCGCCGUUAUCGCAUUCUUGCAAAAGUUAUCCGGCCAACAACAAACUCCACCACCACAACCUCCAAUCACAGUUUCCUUUGGAGCCAAUUUCUUCCAACAACCAACACCGACACCGACACCAACACCAACACCAACACCGGUACAAGUACAACCACCACCACAACCACAGCCGCAACUGCAACCGCAACCGCAAAAACAAUUACAACCUCCAGCAUUGACUAACGGUGACAGUCCGGGUCCAUUGACGAGUCCAUCAUCAAGGUGGCCAAAAGCUGAAGUACAUGCUUUGAUAAGGCUUCGAACGAGCAUGGAACCUAAGUAUCAGGAGAAUGGACCAAAAGCUCCGUUAUGGGAGGACAUAUCAGCGGGGAUGCAGAGGCUAGGGUACAACAGAAGCGCCAAGAGGUGCAAGGAGAAGUGGGAGAACAUCAACAAGUACUUCAAGAAAGUGAAAGAGAGCAAGAAGCAAAGGCGAGAAGAUAGCAAGACUUGUCCCUAUUUUCAUGAACUCGAUGCUCUCUACAGAGAGAAAAGCAAAGGCCACAAUACCAACACUUUCUCCUUUCACAUCACGAAUAAGACCAAUGAGAUGAUGAUGGAGCCGUUGAUGGUGCAACCCGAGCAGCAAUGGAGGCCUCCCCCUCAGCAGCAGCAGGAUAAGGAUGUGGAUAAGAGUAAUAAUGCAUGCCAUGAAGAUGAUGAAUCUAGAAAGAGAGAGAGAGAAUAUGAUCAUGAAGAAGAAGAGGAGGAUGAUGAUGAUGAUGAAGUAGUAGAUGACGAUGAUGAUGGUGAUGGAGAUAGUGUGGAAGAUGAAGGAGGUAACCGUUACGAGAUUGCGACAAAUAAACUUUCUUCAGUGGACGCGGUUGAAUGAGACAAGAUAAGGAAGUUUCUGAUUGGAUGGAAUCAUGGAAGAGAGUUUAUAAGUUUGUGAUAAAAGGCACAAUGGCAUGAAGCAAAAAAAGAAGAAUUAUUUGUUUCAAUUAUGAGAGGUAUGUGUCUUGUUCUUUGCAAUGUGAGGGUGCACAAGGUACCUAUCUGACAGACUUUUAUGUGAUGAAUAAUGGGCCAUCUCAAAAGGAGAUCAUUGGUUUUGUGGGUCAGAUUCCGGAGCCGCCAUGAAACUCAGAUCAGAGAUUUAAAACAAAAACAAAACAGUUCACAUGGGCCAGCAAAGCACCUAUAGUGGGGAAGAGACUACAUGUAUGUUUUUUAGGCUUAUAUUAUAUUAUUUAUUAUUUAUUUGUAAAGUGUAAAUUCAAGAUCACACAAAAAGAAAGAGAGAGAAACAAGGGGGUCCAUGUAGGAUAAAAUAAAAUAAUAACAAGGCACAUGCCAAGUCCUGUAAUUUUCUUUCUUCUUCUUUUUUAUUUUUAUUUUAAUUUAUUGUUGAAAAUGGGUGGAGCUAGAUACCACAGAACCACCCUGUAAGUAGUACUUUCAUGUUUUAUGUUCUUGGAAGUUCCUAAUUAUUGUUAGUUGGGUGUAUGGAAUUGUUAAAUAGUGGAGUGGAGGAGGACAUUAUUAAUUUCUUAAAUAAUCUUGUUAAUUUCUCCCAUCAUUGACUUUAUGAACUUAAUUGGAAGACUUGAGAAGAUGCAUG